rnacentral:rRNA from 1 species
UACGUAGGGUGCGAGCGUUGUCCGGAAUUACUGGGCGUAAAGCGUGCGCAGGCGGUUCGUUGUGUCGGUGGUGAAAUCCCCGGGCUUAACCUGGGAAUGGCCAUGGAAACUGGCGAACUGGAGUGUGGCAGAGGGGGGUGGAAUUCCGCGUGUAGCAGUGAAAUGCGUAGAGAUGCGGAGGAACACCGAUGGCGAAGGCAGCCCCCUGGGCUAGCACUGACGCUCAGGCACGAAAGCGUGGGGAGCAAACAGG